UGUGGCUGUACAAUAAAUGGAAGGAUUUGGGCCACGUUUGAUGAGGCACAGAGUGUCAUUCAACGACUGAGUCCCUCGGACUGUAGCAGCCGUCACACUAUUGCAGUUCCAAGCAUUCUUGAACAACACCAGUCGUUGGAUGUACCAGCAGAAGAAACGGCAAGAUGUAACGAUGUGUCGCUAAGGACAGUCCGACGAAAACUUGCACGUGAUGGCUUAAGGAAACGUGACUUGUCCACCUCCAUUACGAAUGAGGAGUUGGAUAGAAUAGUGGAGGAAAUACACCACAGAUACCCCAAUUCUGGCUACAAGAUGAUCUUGGGACACAUAAGAUCCAGGAAACUUCAUAUUUAAAAACACAGGGUUUUAGCAUCAUUAAGACGAGUAGAUCCGGAAGGAACGGAACUGCGCAGGUUACGUCUUAGGACGGCCCGACGCCGACGUUACAGGGUACCAGCUCCCAACAGUGUGUGGCACAUUGAUGGGAAUCAUAAACU